rnacentral:misc_RNA from 1 species
GUAGGUGAACCUGCGGAAGGAUCAUUAACACGUAUCCACGUUUAUCACCCGAGAUUUCUUAAGAUGGCUUAUUCGAGUAAAAGGCACAAUGCACUUGUGUAUUAUGCCUCGGCCCUUUCAAUUUCGGUUGUAUUGCGGCCAUUGAAUUUGCCUCUUAAGUAAUUACUUCCCUGUUGGUCUCAUUUCGGUGAAACCCUCAGGGAGUAGUUAAUCUCAAGGACUUUCUUUCGGGAGAGUCCUUGAGGUGAAC